UACGUAGGUGGCAAGCGUUGUCCGGAUUUACUGGGUGUAAAGGGCGCGUAGGCGGGUUUGCAAGUCAGAUGUGAAAUACCGGGGCUCAACUCCGGAACUGCAUCUGAAACUGUGAAUCUUGAGUACUGGAGAGGAAAGUGGAAUUCCUAGUGUAGCGGUGAAAUGCGUAGAUAUUAGGAGGAACACCGGUGGCGAAGGCGGCUUUCUGGACAGAAACUGACGCUGAGGCGCGAAAGCGUGGGGAGCAAACA
rnacentral:rRNA from 1 species